GCCGCGGUAAUUCCAGCUCCAAUAGCGUAUAUUAACGUUGUUGCAGUUAAAAAGCUCGUAGUUGAAGUGUGGGUGAUCGCUGUUGUGAGACUUCGGUCUCUCGACAGUAAGUCACCCCCUUCCAGUAUCCAGUAGUGGGUAUUCACUUACUUACUACUGUGUGUUGGUCGUUUACUGUGAGAAAAUUAGAGUGUUCAAAGCAGGCGUUUGCUUGAAUAGAUUAGCAUGGAAUAAUAAUUGAAGGCUUUCGUGUUCGAUUUGAUUGGUUUGUUCAUGGAAGCAAGGUUAAAAGGAACAGUUGGGGGUAUUCAUAUUCACUAGUUAGAGGUGAAAUUCUCGGAUUUAUGGAAGAUGAACAAGUGCGAAAGCAUUUACCAAGGAUGUUUUCAUUAAUCAAGAGCGAAAG
rnacentral:rRNA from 1 species